rnacentral:rRNA from 1 species
UACAAAUGGCUGGUACAAAGGGUUGCCAACCCGCGAGGGGGGAGCCAAUCCCAUAAAGCCAGUCGUAGUCCGGAUCGUAGUCUGCAACUCGACUACGUGAAGUCGGAAUCGCUAGUAAUCGUGGAUCAGAAUGUCACGGUGAAUACGUUCCCGGGUCUU